rnacentral:rRNA from 1 species
CCCUCCUCGGGUAACCGAGGGAGGUCACCUAGUGGCGAACGGGUGAGUAACACGUGAGGAACCUGCCCCGGAGACCGGAAUAGCCCAGGGAAACUUGGAUUAAUGCCGGAUGUCCUCGGAUGGUCGCAUGGCCGGCCGAGGAAAUGGUCCGCUGCUCCGGGAUGGCCUCGCGGCCUAUCAGCUUGUUGGUGAGGUAACGGCUCACCAAGGCUCCGACGGGUAGCUGGUCUGAGAGGACGAUCAGCCACACUGGGACUGAGACACGGCCCAGACUCCUACGGGAGGCAGCAGCAGGGAAUUUUGCACAAUGGGCGAAAGCCUGAUGCAGCGACGCCGCGUGCGGGAUGAAUGCCUUCGGGUUGUAAACCGCUUUCAGGAGGGACGAAGCGAAAGUGACGGUACCUCCAGAAGAAGCCCCGGCCAACUACGUGCCAGCAGCCGCGGUAAUACGUAGGGGGCGAACGUUGUCCGGAUUUAUUGGGCGUAAAGAGCUCGUAGGCGGCUCAGCAAGUCGGCCGUGAAAACCCGGGGCUCAACCCCGGGACGCCGGUCGAAACUGCUGUGGCUAGGGUCCGGUAGAGGAGAGUGGAAUUCCCGGUGUAGCGGUGAAAUGCGCAGAUAUCGGGAGGAACACCAGUAGCGAAGGCGGCUCUCUGGGCCGGUACCGACGCUGAGGAGCGAAAGCUAGGGGAGCAAACAGGAUUAGAUACCCUGGUAGUCCUAGCCGUAAACGUUGGGCA